rnacentral:rRNA from 1 species
CGAAAGCCUGACGGAGCAAGACCGCGUGAGGGAGGAAGGCUCUUGGGUUGUAAACCUCUUUUCUCAGGGAAGAAGCUCUGACGGUACCUGAGGAAUCAGCCUCGGCUAACUCCGUGCCAGCAGCCGCGGUAAUACGGAGGAGGCAAGCGUUAUCCGGAAUUAUUGGGCGUAAAGCGUCCGCAGGUGGCGAUUCAAGUCUGCUGUCAAAGCACGGGGCUUAACUCCGUAAAGGCAGUGGAAACUGAAUAGCUAGAGUGCCGUAGGGGUAGAGGGAAUUCCCGGUGUAGCGGUGAAAUGCGUAGAUAUCGGGAAGAACACCAACGGCGAAAGCACUCUGCUGGGCCAACACUGACACUGAGAGAUGAAAGCUAGGGUAGUC